CGCACACCAACGGAUGUACAGGAGAACUAUACGCUGCUGGGUUCCUGAAUGCAAUUCAGUCAGGCUUCAUCUCUAAUUAGGGCAAGAUAACUUGUUUGGAAAGUCUUCCUCCUCUGCCUCGUGUUCCCCGAGAAACACUCAUAAAUAAAUUGAGGGGGAACAUCCACUUUUGAACUUGCUGGGCUUUGCAGUACAAGAAGACGAGUGCUGCGCUCACUGGAUCAUGUGGAACACGACAUGACAAUACUGCUGCUCUGCACCAUGAAAACAGUGGAUGAAGUGCUUAUCCUCUUCUCAGCACACAGGUCUGAGCUCACCACCUGAUGAACCAGUGGCAGUGCUGGCCUUAAUGGCGCCCUGUGCGAAGCCCCCGAGGUGGCACCCCCAGGGCCCUAGAUGACCCCCCACCCCCCCAGUCAUUAGUCUACGGGUUGUGUGGGGUGGCGACGGAGGUUUUUCACCCUUCAGUGCCGCUCCAAAUACUACAUGGUCCCCAGAGUGCGACCCUGUGCAGUCAUUUCCUCUUAAAGCAGCUCAAUGGCUCCUCAUACACAGAAUUAACUGUUUGAAAAAAAAAUCACUAUCUAAUGACAAACAUGUAGCUCUGAUUUUUUUAAAUGUGAUUUUUUUGGGAAUCACAAAAUUUCGAGGUACAUAUUUUUCAUCUGACAGAUUUUUUUAUUAUUAUUUUAAACCUAUUGAGACAUUAUUGGAAGACAAAGAAGUCAGGCUAAAGGAACCAUAUGCAAAAAAGUAUUCAACAUCUUCUAACACUAUCCAUCCAUCCAUUUUCUGAGCCGCUUAUCCUCACAAGGGUCGCGGGAGUGCUGGAGCCUAUCCCAGCUAUCUUCGGGCAGGAGGCAGGGUACACCCUGAACUGGUUGCCAGCCAAUUGCAGGGCACACAUAAACAAACAAUCAUUCACACUCACAUUCACACCUAUGGGCAAUUUUAGAGUCUUCAAUUAAGCAACCAUGCAUGUUUUUGGGAUGUGGGAGGAAACCGGAGUGCCUGGAGAAAACCCACGCAGGCACGUGGAGAGCAUGCAAACUCCACACAAUUUGAACCCCAGUCCUCAGAACUGUGAGGCAGACGCUCUAACCAGUUGUCCACCGUGCCGCCCUUCUAACACUAAUCUAAAUAAAAUUAUACAGUUUUUUAAUGUCAUCUUAUUUUUUAUUAAUAUGCAUUUUGUACAUUUUAAUUUUAAUCGUAAUCUUAGCACUGAGGCUAGCAAAAGAUCAGGUGAUCAGUCAUGACUCAACAUGUCAAUGACUUGUCACCAU